CCCCUCUCAGGAUCGCAACCUAGAGAGUUUCCAGUAUUCUACGAGUCUCAGCUAUGGGAGGGAGAGUCAAGCAGAGGCCUAUCCAUUCCAUUCCUAGCUUGGGCAGUGGAUAGCGAGUGGAAGGCAAUCUGCUACAAGU